UGACCCCAAAGCUUCAAAUUCAGAUUCCCUUAUGCUCUUAGCAUAUACUCAUAUACCGUGAUGAAAAAUAUUGGGCCGAUGGGCUUAGGAUAAAAGCCCAAAAGGCCCAAAAAAGGAUCAGGUUUUUGCUAGGUCGAUAUAAACCUCAGAAUCAGAGAACAUUGCAUACUCUGUUUAAAGAAAGGUAGCAGCGUUCUCUUCGCCGCCACUCUCUCUUUCACACUCCUUCAGCUCUAGUUGUGUGAAAAACAAGGCUAGCCAAAAUGGUGAAGUUCACAGCUGAAGAGCUUAGGCGUAUUAUGGACUACAAGCACAAUAUCCGUAACAUGUCUGUGAUUGCCCAUGUUGAUCAUGGUAUGGAGUAAUCAUAAAGAUAC